CCUACGUGAGGCUGCAGUAGGGAAUCUUUCACAAUGGGCGAAAGCCUGAUGGAGCAACGCCGCGUGCAGGAUGAAGGCCUUCGGGUUGUAAACUGCUUUUAUAAGCGAGAAAUAUGAUGGUAACUUAUGAAUAAGGAUCGGCUACCUACGUGCCAGCAGCCGCGGUAAUACGUAGGUGGCAAGCGUUAUCCGGAAUGACUGGGCGUAACGGGUGCGUAGGUGGUUUAGUAAGUUGGCGGUGUAAUUCCGGGGCUCAACCUCGGCGCUACCGCCAAAACUAUUAGACUAGAGUGCAGGAGGGGUAAGUGGAAUUCCUAGUGUAGCGGUGGAAUGCGUAGAUAUUAGGAGGAACAUCAGGGGCGAAGGCGACUUACUGGACUGUAACUGACACUGAGGCACGAAAGCGUGGGGAGCAAACAGGAUUAGAUACCCGGGUAGUC
rnacentral:rRNA from 1 species